UCAGACAUGGUGUAAUGGGAGCACCGCCUCGCUCAAUGCAGUAAUCAUUUGGUUAUGAGGCUGUUCAGGGUUCGAAUCCCUAUGUCUGAA